CACGAACUGCGCGAACGUUAUUCGGAAUUACUGGGCUUAAAGGGUUCGUAGGCGGCCUAGUAGGUGAGGUGUGAAAGCCCUCGGCUCAACCGAGGAACUGCGCUUCAAACCGCUAGGCUUGAGGGAGGCAGAGGUGAGUGGAACUGAUGGUGGAGCGGUGAAAUGCGUUGAUAUUAUCAGGAACACCAGUGGCGAAGGCGACUCACUGGGCCUCUUCUGACGCUGAAGAACGAAAGCUAGGGGAGCGAACGGG
rnacentral:rRNA from 1 species